rnacentral:rRNA from 1 species
GCCGGCUCGGCAAGUCUCCCGUUAAAUCCAGCGACCUAAUCGUUGGGCUGCGGGAGAUACUGUUGGGCUAGGGGGCGGGAGAGGCCGACGGUAUUCCCGGGGUAGGGGUGAAAUCCUAUAAUCCCGGGAGGACCACCAGUGGCGAAGGCUGUCGGCUAGAACGCGCUCGACGGUGAGGGACGAAAGCUGGGGGAGCGAACUGGAUUAGAUACCCGGGUAGUCUCAGCUGUAAACGAUGCGGGCUAGGUGUUGGGGUGGCUACGAGCCACUUCAGUGCCGCAGGGAAGCCAUUAAGCCCGCCGCCUGGGGAGUACGGUCGCAAGGCUGAAACUUAAAGGAAUUGGCGGGGGAGCACCACAAGGCGUGAAGCUUGCGGUUCAAUUGGAGUCAACGCCGGGAACCUUACCGGGAGCGACAGCAGAAUGAAAGCCAGAUUGAAGGUCUUGCUAGACGAGCUGAGAGGAGGUGCAUGGCCGUCGCCAGUUCGUGCCGUGAGGUGUCCUGUCAAGUCAGGCAACGAUCGAGACCCACGCCCCCUGUUGCCACCGAGGAAUUUUUCUGAGGGGCACUCUGGGGGGACUGCCGCCGAUAAGGUGGAGGAAGGAGUGGGCCACGGCAGGUCAGUAUGCCCCGAAUCUCCCGGGCCACACGCGUGCUGCAAUGGCUGGUACAGUGGGUUCCGACUUCGAGAGGAGGAGGUAAUCCCGAAAGCCGGCCUCAGUUGGGAUCGAGGGCUGUAACCCGCCCUCGUGAA